CAUACACAUACAAGAUUUAACCAACAUUUGAGUAUAUUGCAUAUAAGCGUGUCAGCAAAAUAAAAAAGGAAAAAAAAAUCGGCAAAUCGGCAGGAAAAAACGGAAACGUCGAGAAGCUAAAGCACAGUCCGUGUCGAACGACAACAGGCUUUUCCCCCGGAGUGUCGUGUGUCAGUCAGAAUGGUCAAUCCCCAUCGGAUGCUGAAACAAAAGGCCUCAAUUACACCGGGAACGGUGCUAGUAAUCGGUCUUCGACGGCAGGUGCUGAUAAUUGGAAGCUUCAAAAACUCGGGCAGCAUGUACUUCCUCGAAAUAAGGAAUCACUGCCGACAUGCCGGAACAAGGGAUUUUUCCAUUGGGGUCGAUUGACAUCAGACCACACCGGACGCCAGAUACGGUCUUCCCGCGGUGGAACAACAGGAAAAGAUGGUUGCCCGUUCGCGGAUAAAGCUUCCUUCCGUUCUGCCUAAUCCUGCACUGAGAUCGGUGGACUUUCCGGCUGGGUAGUUAUCAGCAGAAGUAGGAUAAAUAAUUUCCUGUACAUUUACCACUACCACCCUAUGGCUGUAAUGAUCGGAUUGUGGCGGAGGCUGAACGAGCCAGAAAUAAAAUUUGAAUAGGUGUUAUUUUGUGCAUUAAAGUAUAAUCAAAUCAAUAAAAAUAAAUUCAAAAUUAAAAAUCAUUGGAAGAACCGCUAGAACCAGAAAGCAAUAUACAAUAAAUAUGAUGACUUCUAAAAUGGACAGCUGUCGAAUCUACAAUAUCUAUAGUUGAUCUCAUGAAAUCAAUCAUAGAAAUAUAAUUAUAUCUAUUAUAUUUACAGUUAAAUCAAUUAUACCAGUAUUGUUGAAUUUAUUAUAAUUCUUGUUGAAAGCACAACAUCAAUUAUUGACUAUAGUUGAAUCUAUUAUAUUUAUAGUUGAGUGCAAAACAAUCAAUCAGAUCGGUAGAAUCGAAUUUAUUAUACGCAUUUUUGAACACACAAAAACAAUCCGAUAAUCUAUUGUAUAUAUAAUUGAAAGUUUGAUAUUUAUAGUUAGCCGAGAAAUAAUCAGAAAUAUGAUUGAAUAAAAGUGGAUUAUUGUUAAAAAUACUAUACUUUUUUCUCCGUGCA